rnacentral:piRNA from 1 species
UCACCCACAUGCCCAUUUCACUCGCAGC